rnacentral:lncRNA from 1 species
UCUGGUGAUCAUAAUUGCUUUUUUUUUCUUUCCUCUUUUCUUCCCCUCCUACAGCCUGGAAGUGCUGCACAGACUGUCCUGAAAUGCCAACUGUCUGUCACUGUCAUCCGUCAAGGGCAGAUCAAGGCUCACUCUGACAGAAAUCUGUGGCUUAAAAGUCAUAAACAUAUGCCAGCACAAUGGUCCUUCAGUGCAUUUUUCUCUUCCUGCAAGGUAACCAUUCAUCCAUGGAGUAAUUUCUUCAGAUGAGGCAUUUUAAGCCAAAUUGCCAGUUAAUGCCUGCAGGGCCAGCUUCCCUCCUGAUCAGCUCUGAAAAUUAAGGGAAGCUCUGAAUGGUGCUGCAAAGUUUUGCUUACAGAAAUUCUGAAGGACUGUGAAACAGAACAAAAUUGGAAGGGCAAACUCUGGAGCUUCAGACAAAUGCAAAACUGCAGGGGAGAGGGAGAAAGGUUUUUAGAAUCUAAAUGCCACACUUACUUUUGUGCUUAAAGCCUCUUGGUUUACUUUCUGAGGGAAAAAACAAGGCUGUGGUCUCAAUGCAUUCUACUUGCUCAUUAACUUAGUACUGUUUUUUUUUUUUUCUUGUGCCUUUGUGCCACAGUAUGUUGAUUCUUCUCAAUGGCGUAAUGGCCCCAGGACAGUGUUGAAGGACAUGGAAAAUAUAUAUAUGACUGUGGCUCAUGUCUAAACAAACCAGCUGAAUCCAUGUCCCUGUGCUCUGUUGGAACUCAUGACUACCUAUAUAUAAUCUGUUAGAAGAAAGAUCUGCUGAACUCUACUUGAGAUAUUUUGGGGGCUUUAAGCUCACAGUCUUACCAAGAAAAACCAAACAUCUCUAUUCCCACACUGUAGAGAGUGUUAUUUACAGCUGGUUAGCUGAGAAGGGUCGUAAACACAGUGCAGCUAAACAAGCAGCCAUAUCACCUGCAAGGACAUCAAGAACAACAGGAUGCCCUGGGAUGGUGAGAAACUAGCUAUGGUUUUGUGAACUCAGCAAGGGAGUAACUUUCAGGAUGAUAACAAGUUGCAAAGAUACUUGGGGAUGGUAUGUAGUUGGGAACCAAUGAUGAACUCCACUUUUGAAAUAUGUAUGAGCUAAUUAUCCGUAUUAUAAAUGUACACGCAGACAAGGAAUAAACGAGAUUAGCUGAUCA